UGNGCUUGCAUUUGAGUUUACAUGCCUGG
rnacentral:piRNA from 1 species